CUUGCUUCCUUGUGUGUGGCCUGCUUAUUUUAUUUUUUAGAGCUAUACUUCAGAAGUGCAGAGCAGCCUGAGGGCCCUUUUUCUCCAUUUUAUUUUGUGUGUCUUCUUAAAAAUUGUAUCUUGGCUAGAACUACUCUUUCUUCCUUGGUGGUUUUAUAACUCACAAGGUGAAUGGUGAUACCCUGAAAGAUCAACAGGAAUACCCUCAGGGUGGGAAUAUAAAUCUAGUCCCUCUUACUCUAUCCUGCCCAGAAGUGGAAAUAUGAUCCUUCCAUUAUAAAAUAAAGAAUGGUCCUAAGAUUUGAGAACUCCAAAAGGACUUAGUGUUACGGAAUAAAGGUGAACAACCAUUUGGGACUGUUUAUCUACUUGCUAUCUCUCUUUUGAGAGAGAAUAAUGUCUCAAGAGCUCCAUUCUCUGAUGCCUGCAGUAUGUUAUGAAUCAGUAGAGAAUCUUUCUGUCUGUGCUUGGAU